UACUCGGAGUCCCCGCGUGGCCCCGGGACAGCGGUACAGGGCCGGGGCGAAGGUGGGGCGGGGCCACGGAGCGCGUGCGCGGCGCGGGGCUGACUCAGGUGUGAGAUGGGCGGGGCCUGCACAGGUGCGCGGGGCUCCAGGGCGGCUGCGCGGGGCGGGGCCGAGGGCAUCUAAACCCCGAAAGCCCCACAGGUGCCAUUUUCUCCCCAGCGCCGGGAGGUGCCGGUCCGGGGUCCCUAGGCGGGGCCCAGGUGAAACCUGUCAGGCCACUGGGCUCAUCUACAUCCCCGGUGCCCAGGGAGCUGGCUGAGUACUCUGCCAAUAGUAUUGGCUCCAAAGCUUCCAGAGGCACCAGAGCUGACCAAGGAGGUAAGUGGCAAGGAGAUGGCUUUCCAUGCCACCAGUGGUUGAGGAGAGGAUCUUCAGGUCCCUCAAGGGUACCAAUCCCAGGGGCUGCACAGAUGCCAAAAGCAGCCCAGGGCCAGCACUGCCCCAAGUCGCCUUCACCUCCAGGUGCUGCCCUCUGGAUAGGCCCUGCUCUUCCAGGUGAGCUCGGAGCUGGGGAAGAUGUGCAAGUAGGGAUUGCACCUGCAGGUCCAGGGGUCCCGAGGGGAGUGGGUGGUGGGGGUCCAGUGGACACACAGGAACAUGUUCAGAAAGCAAAUUUGAUCAUGGCAAGUUUCAGCCCAGAAACCAGAGGUUUUGUGGAGAAGCCCAGGCACACUGGCCUCAUCCUCGCUGUGCGCAGGUGAUGGGAGUUGGACAGAGAUGCUGUGCCAGCCCCAGACCUGGCUGUUCUCCAGAUCCAACCACUCUCCCAGUUCCACCAUCUGAUCCACUUCAUUUCAUCCUAAGUCCUUGUUCUCUCCUCCAAAGCAAACAUGGACUUACGAGAAUUAAAAACAAUAAUAAAAGUA